UUGAGAUGUAGUACCAGAUGUUUGUGUGCUUAUUCUUUGGAGCUGUUUAUGUUAGAAAUGUCUGUUUGUCAGCAUUCAUCAUACAUAAACCACGCAUGUGCAUGUAUUUUCAAACAUGCAGAUAUUCAUGAUUGCAUUCUUUGCCAUAUAUCUUUGUUUGUAAUCCCUGCUAGUGGGUAAUAUGCUUUCCACUCAGAUGUCGGUGUCUG
rnacentral:lncRNA from 1 species